rnacentral:tmRNA from 1 species
GGGGACGUUACGGAUUCGACAGGGAUAGUUCGAGCUUAAGUUGCGAGUCGAGGGGAUCGGCCUCGUUAAAACGUCAACGCCUAUAACUGGCAAACAAAACAACAACCUAGCUUUCGCUGCUUAAUAACAGUCGAUAGCUGUUCCUCCCUCCAUGGCCCACGUGGUAGGGUAAGGGACUCACUCUAAGUGGGAUACGCCGGAAUCCACCGUCUGAGGAUGAAGGAAGAGACCAAUCAGACUAGCUGCUCUGCCGCCUGUCGAUAGGCUAAUGAGUUCGCGAAAUGCGAAUAUAUCGACUACACUCGUAGAAGCUUAAGUGCCGUUAUGUCUGGACGUGGGUUCAACUUCCCACCGUCUCCACCA